rnacentral:lncRNA from 1 species
GUUCCAGCUGGUCCUAAACUCCCGACCUCAGUCUUGCUCUGCUAUCCAGGAUGCAACGCAGUGGUGCAAUCCUAGCUAACAUAACUUCAAACUCCUGGGCUCAAGGGAUCCUCCACGUCAGCCCCCCAAAUAGCUAGGACUACAGGGGCCACUGUAGCUUCUUGUGUUGCAUGGCAACUAUCAACAAAAAGGUAUAAACAAAAGCAUAUUGCAUUGCUUUGGCAGGUAAGAUGGUCUUCCCUCCUAGGUCUAUUUCUGAUUCACUUUGGGGUGAAUUGGUUAUGAAUUGGGUGGGUAGGCAGAAUUUCUGCUAAAAAUCAUUUCCAAAUUGAAUGACUGUCUUAGGCUAUUUGGUUGUCUUCAUGUGUGAAGAAUCAUUAUCUAAAGGCUAUCAUGGGAAGAUUAUUCAUGCAUAGGCAAAUAUGCUUAUAUUCCACUCCAGAAUUAAAACAUUAAAGACUCUUAAAGAAUACAUAACAAUUUGUGUUGAAAAUGCUUUCUGGCUCUUAAGCUGAUAGUAAUAUAUUAUUUGUGGAUACGUCAGUAAUGCACAUGGACUACUAACUCUACUCAGAUGCCAGAGCUUCUCGUUGGAUUAAUUCUAGGCUGUAUGUAUCAUUGUUAAUAAUUAUGGAAGUAAAAACUAUCCUAUCAUCUACGUGGAUAUGAAUUAAAUGCAUCUGGCUGGAUAUGAGUUAAACUGUAAACCCAUGGUAGUGAAGGAAAUAGUAUACUCUGAAGUCUAAAAUAUAAAUGAGAUGGAGGCCUCCCCAGGGGUGAUUCAGCUGAGAACUUCAUCUCUGAUUUAUACCCUAACACUCUCCAUUUCACCACCAGAUAGGAAAUCUUGAUUGUUAGCUCUCCUGUUAGGAUUACUUAUAGAGGACACUUGGAGAAAUCCUUAUGUGAUUAUGAUAAUACCACCUGACUUUCCUUGGGAAGACAUUU